UUAAGCAGGAUGUGAANUCCCCGGGCUCAACCUGGGAACUGCGUUNUGAACUGGGUGACUAGAGUGUGUCAGAGGGAGGUAGAAUUNCACGUGUAGCAGUGAAAUGCGUAGAGAUGUGGAGGAAUACCGAUGGCGAAGGCAGCCUCCUGGGAUAACACUGACGUUCAUGCCCGAAAGCGUGGGUAGCAAACAGGAUUAGAUACCCUGGUAGUNCACGCCCUAAACGAUGUCGAUUAGCUGUUGGGCAGCAUGACUGCUUAGUAGCGAAGCUAACGCGUGAAAUCGACCGCCUGGGGAGUACGGUCGCAAGAUUAAAACUCAAAGGAAUUGACGGGGACCCGCACAAGCGGUGGAUGAUGUGGAUUAAUUCGAUGCAACGCGAAGAACCUUACCUGGUCUUGACAUGUACGGAACCCUUCAGAGACGGAGGGGUGCCUUCGGGAGCCGUAACACAGGCGCUGCAUGGCUGUCGUCAGCUCGUGUCGUGAGAUGUUGGGUUAAGUCCCGCAACGAGCGCAACCCUUGUCAUUAGUUGCCAUCAUUAAGUUGGGCACUCUAAUGAGACUGCCGGUGACAAGCCGGAGGAAGGUGGGGAUGACGUCAAGUCCUCAUGGCCCUUAUGACCAGGGCUUCACACGUCAUACAAUGGUCGGUACAGAGGGUAGCCAAGCCGCGAGGCGGAGCCAAUCUCACAAAACCGAUCGUAGUCCGGAUUGCACUCUGCAACUCGAGUGCAUGAAGUCGGAAUCGCUAGUAAUCGCAGGUCAGCAUACUGCGGUGAAUACGUUCCCGGGUCUUGUACACACCGCCCGUCACACCAUGGGAGUGGGGGAUGCCAGAAGUAGGUAGGGUAACCGCAAGGAGCCCGCUUACCAC
rnacentral:rRNA from 1 species